AUAAAUUUUUUUAAUUCUUAGAAUGGAUAUUAUUUUAAGAAAUUUUAUUUUUUAAAAAAUAUAGAUUUGAUUUUAGUAAUUUUUGUUUUUAAUUUUGGAUUUUGAUUUUGUAUAAGUUAGAAAAUAUAUUAUUGAUAGGAUAAGUACUGAAAAGGAAAUAAAUUAAAUUUAAAUUAUAAUUCUGGUUUUACCUUUUGUAUUAGGGUAUUUUAAAAUUUUGUUAAAUAUUAAUUUCUCGAAUAAUUUUGGGCUAAUUUUUUAGAAUUGUUUUUGUAGAAUAAAAUUUUUUUAUAGGAAAUUAGUUAUGAUAUAUAUUUCAAGAAAUUUUAUAUCUAGUUUUUUUAGAAAUAAAAAUUUAUUUAAUAUAUUAUUUAGAUAUUAAUAGGGGUUAGCUUAUUAAUUAAAUAUAAAUUAUUUGAUGGAUUUUCUUAAGUGAAUUUAAAAUUGUUUAUUUUUAUGAUUUUAUAAUAGAAAGAAAUUUAUAUUAAGGAUUUAGGUUAAAUUUAUUUUUUUAAAAAAUUAUAUUAAGAAAUUUUAAAUUUUUAUAAAUAAUGAAAUAAUUAGUAUAAUUUAUUUUUUUUCAAUAUUUAUUUGUGAAUUUAUAUUUGUGAUAAAAAUUAUGGGAAAUGAAUUAAGCAAAAAAAUUUUUUUGACUGUUUAGCAAAAACAUUGUUUCAUGAAUAUAAUUAUGAAAUAAUGUCUGUCCACUGAGUUUUAAAGGACUGCAGUAUUUUGACUGUAUAAAAGUAGCAUAAUCAUUAGCUUUUUAAUUUGAAGUUAGUAUGAAGGCGAAACUGAGAGAUACUUUAUUUUUUAUAAAUUUUGAAUUUGAUAAUUAAGUGAAAAAUCUUAAUUGAGGAAAAGGGACAAGAAGACCCUAAUAAGCUUUAUUUUUUUAUUUUUUAAAUCAUAGGAAAAAUUUGUAAUUAGAUAAUAAAAGUAAAAUAAUUUAUUUGGGGCGAUUUGUUUUUUAAACAUAAUAAUUUUUUAAUUUUUUUGGCGAAUAAUUUUAGAUCUAUAUAUUUUAAUUAAAAGUGAAGUUACUAUAGGGAUAACAGCGUGAUUUUUAAGAAAAGUUCUUAUUAAAAUAAAAGUUUGCGACCUCGAUGUUGGAUUAAGUUAUAGUAUUAGUGAAGGAGUUAAAUAUUUUGAUCUGUUCGAUCUUUAAAAACUUACAUGAUCUGAGUUCAAACCGGCGUGAGCCAGGUUGGUUUCUAUCUUUUUAAUUAUAAAAUUUUUAUAUUAGUACGAAAGGACCAUAUUAAAUUAUUUUAUUAGUAUAAUUUUUUUGAAAAAAAUUAA
rnacentral:rRNA from 1 species